rnacentral:rRNA from 1 species
GAUGAACGCUGGCGGCGUGCCUAAUACAUGCAAGUCGAGCGAACAGAUGAGGAGCUUGCUCCUCUGACGUUAGCGGCGGACGGGUGAGUAACACGUGGAUAACCUACCUAUAAGACUGGGAUAACUUCGGGAAACCGGAGCUAAUACCGGAUAAUAUAUUGAACCGCAUGGUUCAAUAGUGAAAGACGGUUUUGCUGUCACUUAUAGAUGGAUCCGCGCCGCAUUAGCUAGUUGGUAAGGUAACGGCUUACCAAGGCAACGAUGCGUAGCCGACCUGAGAGGGUGAUCGGCCACACUGAAACUGAGAAACGGUCCAGACUCCAACGGGAGGCAGCAGUAGGGAAUCUUCCGCAAUGGGCGAAAGCUUGACGGAGCAACGCCGCGUGAGUGAUGAAGGUCUUCGGAUCGUAAAACUCUGUUAUUAGGGAAGAACAAAUGUGUAAGUAACUAUGCACGUCUUGACGGUACCUAAUCAGAAAGCCACGGCUAACUACGU